ACUCACCCUCUCCUCUUUCAUCUCUGUUCCUCUUCUCUCUCGUUUUCUCUCUCGGCUGAAGUGGAAGAAACCCUUGAACCCACAAAAUCGAUCGACCGAUAACCACGACCACCACGACCCGCACCAUCUCCCACUCAUCUCCAUCCAAUCGACAGAAGCGGAAACCUUAAAUCGACAGGACUGUGAAAAUCGUUCGAAUCCGUAAAGUAGGAGUUCUACUUCGUUCGAAUCCGUACGAGUUCUACCUGGUUCUUGUUCGUUCGAAUCAGUCAGAAAACAGGGGCGACUUCAGGUGCGCUUUGGAAAUUCAUGUUGCUGGUAAAAUAGUGAGAGGGUCUCAGGUUGAAUACGUGAAGGGGCUUGUUGCCAUGGACCAAGGACAAGUUUGGGAGGUAGAGGAUUUAUUGCCCCUAGGGUAGGCCUGCCCAUCCCACAAGGAUGAAUGAGAUCCACAAGGUUUGGGAAUGCCAUGUUUAUGACUCAGCCAACAGUGUGCUGUGUGGCAGUGGCACAAUGCCAAGCACUACCCCAAGGCAGUUCUCCCAAGGAGCAACCUCAACCCAUAGUACCCAAAAAUCUACCACUUGAAUAAGCUUUAUCUUAGGCUUUUGGCUUCAAUGUAGUAAUGUGUAAUGGUUUAUGUGGUACCUAAUGGCACUAGUACUUUCUGUUUUGUUGACCUAAUGUAAUGGUGUUUGUGGUACCAAAUGGCAAUAGUACAUUCUAUUUUGUUGACUGUAAUGAAUUGCUUUGGUAUUGCCUUGGCUUGGCAGUAGUCGAUGUGUAAUCUUUGGUAUUUUGUUGACUGAAUGUUUUGUUUUAUAAUCAAUGGAUCAUUAUUUCUGGGCUGUGGCUUGGUUUGUGGACUGGCAUG